rnacentral:lncRNA from 1 species
GGGACGUUUAUUUCGGAUUCUGCACUUGAUUGAUUACUUGUCUGAUAUCAACACUUGAUAGAUUGAUCGAUCGAUCGAUCUCUAAUCAUGAUUUAAUCAAUGUGAUCAUGAUUUGAUCACUCUGAUCAUGAUUUGGUUGAUUGAUCAAUACUUUCUAUAGCCGAAAAUGACAUAUUUUGCAUGGUUUUUUUCUUCAUUGUCUAUAUGUUUCGUGCUGUUCAGUGACAAAUAUCUCACGCACAAUUUUACAUGUAGUAUUGAGAACAACUCUUACAUCCGAAAAAAAAAUGAAUUGCGACUGAGUUAUUCUAACACUAGAUUUGCUAUUGCUAGCAAUAGCUGAGGAUGGCACCCCGUACUGCACAUUGUCACAGUAGCAUCAACACUUAUGAGUGUACAAAAGUCAAAUGACAUUUCUAUUAUACAUGACAGAAUCAGCAUUUCUUCACAC